rnacentral:rRNA from 1 species
UACGUAGGGGGCAAGCGUUGUCCGGAUUUAUUGGGCGUAAAGAGCGUGUAGGCGGCUAGAUAGGUCCGUUGUGAAAACUCGAGGCUCAACCUCGAGACGCCGAUGGAAACCAUCCAGCUAGAGUCCGGAAGAGGAGAGUGGAAUUCCCGGUGUAGCGGUGAAAUGCGCAGAUAUCGGGGAAGAACACCCGUGGCUAAGGCGGCUCUCUAGUACGGUACUGACGCUGAGACGCGAAAGCGUGGGGAGCGAACAGG